GUGGACGUAGCUCAGUUGGUAGAGCUCCGCACUGUGACUGCGGCCGUCGUGGGUUCAAAUCCCAUCGUCCACCCCA
rnacentral:tRNA from 1 species